AUGAGGGUGUCGUAUUUUUGGAUUCUGAGAACCGAAUCUUUGCUACGUAUUCUAUAUAUUCCAUUCCAGGUCGGUACUUCAGUCAGAUGGGGAACCGAUACUUGAUAAAGCAGACCACAUUACCAGCACAUCUACUAAAAACAUGGCGGAAACAGGCUUUUGAUGUCUACAUUUACGUCUCAGGUACAUCUGAGGGUACUGCUUCUGAAGAGAUUUGAAAGAUCGUCUUCUGACAAUUGCGUGGGAGUUGUCUGAUGAGAGUAACAACAUUCAAGGCCUUCCUAGAUUUUUUCGAAUUUCUUAAAGAUUUGUGAACAU